CUCGACUCACUCCAACCCCUGUGACAUACCACUUGUUGCCUCGGCGGAUCAGCCCGCUCCCGGUAAAACGGGACGGCCCGCCAGAGGACCCCUAAACUCUGUUUCUAUAUGUAACUUCUGAGUAAAACCAUAAAUAAAUCAAAACUUUCAACAACGGAUCUCUUGGUUCUGGCAUCGAUGAAGAACGCAGCAAAAAUGCGAUAAGUAAUGUGAAUUGCAGAAUUCAGUGAAUCAUCGAAUCUUUGAACGCACAUUGCGCCCGCCAGUAUUCUGGCGGGCAUGCCUGUUCGAGCGUCAUUUCAACCCUCAAGCACAGCUUGGUGUUGGGACUCGCGUUAAUUCGCGUUCCUCAAAUUGAUUGGCGGUCACGUCGAGCUUCCAUAGCGUAGUAGUAAAACCCUCGUUACUGGUAAUCGUCGCGGCCACGCCGUUAAACCCCAACUUCUGAAUGUUGACCUCGGAUCAGGUAGGAAUACCCGCUGAACUUAAGCAUAUCAAAAUCCGGGAGGAAA
rnacentral:rRNA from 1 species